GAUGAACGCUGGCGGCGUGCCUAAUACAUGCAAGUCGAGCGAACGGACGAGAAGCUUGCUUCUCUGAUGCUAGCGGCGGACGGGUGAGUAACACGUGGAUAACCUACCUAUAAGACUGGGAUAACUUCGGGAAACCGUAGCUAAUACCGGAUAAUAUUUUGAACCGCAUGGUUCAAAAGUGAGAGACGGUCUUGCUGUCACUUAUAGAUGGAUCCGCGCUGCAUUAGCUAGUUGGUAAGGUAACGGCUUACCAAGGCAACGAUGCAUAGCCGACCUGAGAGGGUGAUGGGCCACACUGGAAGUGAGACAGGGUCCAGACACCGACGGGAGGAAGCAGUAGGGAAUCUUCCGCAAGGGGCGAAAGCCUGACGGAGCACCGCCGCGUGAGUGAUGAAGGUCUUCGGAUCGUAAAACUCUGUUAUUAGGGAAGAACAUAUGUGUAAGUAACUGUGCACAUCUUGACGGUACCUAAUCAGAAAGCCACGGCUAACUCCGUG
rnacentral:rRNA from 1 species